rnacentral:sRNA from 1 species
AGCCUGUCCGGCCCCCUUGCUGCCCGCUAGCUCCCGCCGGCUGGCGCAAGCUGUCGGCGCCGGGGCACUGCGGGCGGGGUCGGGGCCUGGCCUUCCUGACGUUGCAGCUGCCGUCCCCGCACGUUCCGGCCAGGGCCUCCCUCUUAGGGCCGGGCGGAGCCCGUGGCUGAGGCUGCAGAGUAGGGAAGCGAGCGGCUGCCGAGGCACAGCAGCGAUCCGGCGGGGGCGGAAAAUGGCGGCGGCUUCGGAGGAGCUAAAUGGCGCCGGGACCCCUGGGGGGUGGGGUGGGCCGGGAGGUUGAGUAGAGAACUGGGCCAGAAGGAGUGGAGACAUUGAUAGGCUCACCCCAAAAUAUGCUUUUUGGGACUGAUUUAGCACCUGCAUAUUCUGCGUGAAUCUCUUUAAUUGGUUGCAGUUGAGCUAAUGGUGGAGCCAAAAUGCUAUUGCCCUGUCUUCAUCAACAUUUAAUCAAGAACGUUUGUCUGCCUGAUGAGAGCCACUUGGGUUAACAAACUACCUGUGAAUAGUCAUCAUUUCUGUCCUUCAUUGGGGAAUACUUUUAGAGAGUGUUGCGGAGAUAGGAACAUGGGAGAGAAACAAUCUGGAUAACAUGAAAGUGAUGCUGGUUGCUAAGG